UCUUGGAUUUAUGAAAGACGAACAACUGCGAAAGCAUUUGCCAAGGAUGUUUUCAUUAAUCAAGAACGAAAGUUGGGGGCUCGAAGACGAUCAGAUACCGUCCUAGUCUCAACCAUAAACGAUGCCGACCAGGGAUCGUGGGAUGUUGCUUAUAGGACUCCGCCGGCACCUUAUGAGAAAUCAAAGUCUUUGGGUUCCGGGGGGAGUAUGGUCGCAAGGCUGAAACUUAAAGGAAUUGACGGAAGGGCACCACCAGGCGUGGAGCCUGCGGCUU
rnacentral:ncRNA from 1 species